CUGCUGCUCACAGCAGGCGGGAACAAACCCUCGCUGAGCACCUCUCUUUCUAUUUCCAUCUCAGAAACUUCUGCUUUCCUCUUCGACGCUUCCUCUUUCAGACGUCAGCAGGUUGUAGAGAGACCAAACGUGUGUUCGUAUCUCGUUUUCGUGUCAGUGUGCCUGCUGAGCACUUCCUGCUCCCUGACAGCACUUUGAUAGGAAUAUCCUACUACAGGGACAGACAAAAGUUGAGUCUGGCCUUCUCUCUCCCUCUCUCUCGUCUCCAUGCUUGACACGUUCUCGGAGUUUCCUGACACGCCUCACAUUUCUGGCUCCUUAACGUGCCCCACCGACAGGAGCUGCCUGAUGUGAUAGCAGCUGAGAGACAGAAGUGAGGGACAGACAGAGGAUGAAGAGUAUGCCAGUGAUGAAAAUCGGUGGGGGUGGCGUUAUGUUUACAGCGUGGCGUUUGCAAGCAGCAGACAGCGAGACACGCUCAGCAUGCAGGAGGGGAGGAAAUGAACAAUGCAGGGGAAGUGAUCAGUAAUCUGCAAAGCUAGCUGUCAGCCUCCGCUGCAAACAGCCCGUCUGGAUCUCAUUAUGGGUAAAUUAAUUUGGCACAGAUCCUCCGACCGAAAUAUUCAUGAGCAAAUUGAGGAAGUAAGUGUGCCUCUGUGUGAUUACGGAAGAAAUGAAAAACAGUGAGAGAUCGCUUCACUGUUGCAGUCAGAAAUAAGAGAGGAGCACAGAAGAAGUUAAUUGUUUGUUGCACGUUAGUGAGAUGUCUGAAACAAAACUUGCAGGUAAAACAACAAAUAUCUCAUUCUGGUUAUUAAUCGCUAUGUUUAGUCUGUUUUUUUCCCCUACUGAUGUACA